ACAGCCUCGAGGGAAUCAGGGACUGCAAUUCCUAUUUUAACCACUGUAUGUGAAUUUCACUUUUCAGAGCACGGUCCAUCUCAAGGGGAAGCUGGGACAACAGGGAAAACACCCUGGUCGUCUGAAUGGAAUUCCGUCUGUAAUCUUCUUGGGAAGUGCCUGGAGCGUGGGGAAUGCCCAAAUGUGCUGGUCCACAAGCUCCACUGAGAGCACAGAAGGGAACCAGAUGCUGGUGUGCCAUCACAGGAGAGGGCUCCUAAGCCGAGCGGCCUUAACCCAAAGCCUGAGAAAUAACAGGUGGGGGGGACGGCGAAUGGGAACCGGCAGGGCUUGGUAUGUGGAAACCCAGGUUGUAUGCGAUUAACUUAGUUAGUGCUUCCAACUGUCUGAUAAGGGGCAAUAGUCUUGGUUUUCCCAUUUUACAGACAAAGAGAACGGAGCUGAGAACGGUGAGAGGAGCUGAGUUUGUUGGCCCUCAGCUACGAGAACAGGGCCGAGGCUACCCCAGCGCUAUAAUACUGAGCUACCUCACCAGCAAAAUGUCCCAGGCGGAGCAAGCAACAGGCAAAAAGGACGUGGGGUUUUAUGCUGUAGAAAUCUUCCCAUGCGGUUAGGCUGCUGUGAAUCAUGUUUAUGGACGACUAAUGGCGCGGGAGUCAGCCAUGCUCUGACGAUGUCUCAGGAACCGAGGGAGGCGUUUUAUAGGAACUCUCAUCCCAUCUCCAUGUUGCAGGUGAGGAACUAGAACCUCCAGAGCCCUCGACUUGUGACUGUGACUAAUGGUCACGACAGAGCAGGACUCGACUCACUUCCGGAGAAGAGAAGGCUCCUUCAUGCUGGUUUAGUAGUGUGAGACCAACUGACUCAAUAAAGUUGACACUAUGGAGAUCUUC
rnacentral:lncRNA from 1 species